GCCGGUGUGGUGAAAUUGGUAUACACGACGGAUUCAAAAUCCGUUUCCUUCGGGAGUGGCGGUUCAAGUCCGCCCAUCGGUACCA
rnacentral:tRNA from 3 species